rnacentral:lncRNA from 1 species
AAAAAUGGGGGACCACCAGCAUCCAAAAGUGUCCCAUAAUCAGCCCCAGGAGGAGAUAUCAGCAGAGGAAAGAAACAAUAUUAACCAAAACAAUGUAAGCAAAACCUCUCAUUUACACAGAAAGACACUGAACUUUUUUUAUUGCAAAAAUGCUGUCAUUGAUUAAAAAAAAAAAAAAGAGAAAUGGAUGUUCCUUUACACUAAAACCUGUAAAUUGUCCACCACAGUGUCCCACAAUCAUCCCCAGGAGGAGACGCCAGCAGAGGAAAGAAACAAUAUUAACCAAAACAAUGUAAGUAAAACUUCUCAUUUCCACAGAAAACAUUAUUAUUCAAAAAAUGGACAUCACGUUUUACUAAUGCCUGGAAAAUGGUGCAGAGGAACGCCAACAUCCACUGAUGGAGGACUAGAAAAAAGAUGAAGUGCCAGGAUCUACCAAUGGACGAGGAGAAAUACUUUUACUAAUCAUAGCAAUAGGAACGCCAACAUCCACUGAUGGAGGAGAAGAAGAAAGAUGGAGGACGGGAGUGACAGCAUCUACCAAUGGAGAAGAAGAAAUACUUUUAUUAACCAAAACAAUAAUCCACUGAUGGAGAUCAAGGAAGAUGGAAGAGUACCAUCAUCUACCAAUGGAGGAGGAGGAGGAGGGGGAGAAAAAUGGGGGAGCACCAGCAUCCAAAAGUGUCCCACAAUCAGCCCCAGGAGGAGAUAUCAGCAGAGGAAAGAAACAAUAUUAACCAAAACAAUGUAAGUAAAACUUCUCAUUUACACAGAAAGACACUGAUCACAUGUUUAAUGUAUAAAUAGACGUCAUGUUUUACUAACACCUGUAAAAUGUUGGACUUGACCACCAGAAUCCACUGAUGGAGGAGAAGAAAGAUGGAGGACAGGAGCACACAAACAUCAGCACAAGACAGAGAUGAAGAAAGACUUCUAUCAAUCAACCAAAAACAAUGUAAGCAAAG